rnacentral:tRNA from 1 species
GGGGAUUUAGCUCAGUGGUACAGUGCUUGCCUGAUAAGCUUGAGGUCCUGAGUUCAAUCCCCAGUAUGUCCA